GAUGAACGCUGGCGGCAUGCCUAACACAUGCAAGUCGAUCGGUAAGGCUCUUCGGAGUACACGAGAGGCGGACGGCUGAGUAACGCGUAGGAACACACCCUGCAGUGAGGGAUAAGACACCGAAAGGUGUUCUAAUACCGCAUACGGUCUUCGGAUUAAAGCAUUUAUGCGCUGAAGGAGUGGCCUGCGUCAUAUUAGAUAGUUGGUGAGGUAAUGGCUCACCAAGUCGAUGAUGUGUAGCUGGUCUGAGAGGAUGAUCAGCCAGACUGGAACUGAGACACGGUCCAGACUCCUACGGGAGGCAGCAGUGAGGAAUAUUUCACAAUGAGCGAAAGCUUGAUGGAGCAAUGCCGCGUGCAGGAUGAAGGCCCUCGGGUUGUAAACUGCUUUUAUAAGAGAAGAUUAUGACGGUAACUUAUGAAUAAGGGACGGCUAACUACGUGC
rnacentral:rRNA from 1 species